rnacentral:tRNA from 1 species
GGGGCGAUGGCGGAAUCGGCUUACGCGGCGGUCUUAAAAACCGCUGGGCUUCGGCCCGUGUGGGUUCAAGUCCCACUCGCCCCACCA